UACAGGGGGUGCAAACGUUGCUCGGAAUCAUUGGGCGUAAAGCGCACGUAGGCGGUUCGUUAUGUCGGAUGUGAAAGCCCUUGGCUUAACCGGAGGAAGUGCAUCCGAAACUGGCGAGCUAGAGUACUAAAGAGGAUCGCGGAAUUCCCGGUGUAGAGGUGAAAUUCGUAGAUAUCGGGAGGAACACCGGUGGCGAAGGCGGCGAUCUGGGUAGAUACUGACGCUGAGGUGCGAAAGCGUGGGGAGCAAACAGG
rnacentral:rRNA from 1 species